AGAGGGGUGGGGAGCUGUUUUUGGAUUCUAUUUGCUUUUAUUUUGAAGGAUUUAAUCAUCAUUACAGCUCUAAUAAUGUACUUAGCAUUGGAGCUGCCAGUACUAGCAGAACUCUGGUGUUAUUACCUGUCUGUAGCUCAGCUGGGCUUAAAGCAGGCCAGGUAGAGACAGAAUGAGACAGUCUUUUGCCAGAUGAUCCCAAAUGGGAAACCCACCUUUACUGACAACAGUGGAAGUAUGGCAGCAUUAGCAGUGUCAAGGUGUUUAUAGAAAGGCUUGAUGUGUAGAGGGCCCUUCUGGAGAACCUACUACUUUAUUCCUCAGCCAAAGGGUAGAAAAGCAACUAUUUGCUUUUUUGGGUACCAUAAGGUUGAUGUCUUUCAAAACUACUCGAGUUGUUGAGUAUGACGGUAAAGAAUAUUGGCAUGGCUGUUAUUUUCAAAGCUUAAAUAAGGCAGACACAUGACUUUAGCAAACGCAUGUGAAGUUUGCAUAUCAUAAAUCAUUGCAAUAAAGAAACCAAAACAAAAUAGCAGCGUGUCGUUAAAGCUGGAAUAUGUUUUCCAUUUGAAAAGAACAGAUUUCCUCGGGUUUGACUUGGCUUCGUUUUCAUGCCUGUGGAACAGUGGAGUACCUCAGGAAUAUUAAUUCAUUGCCAUUGUGAGACAGAAAGUUCCCAUCUUCACAAAUGGACCCAGUAUAAAGUACAGCAGAAGGUUAUCUCCUUUUUUUUUCAUACACUGAAGCAACAGCAGCUUUAACUGCACUGCCAAAUACUGUGCAACAAUUAGAACAGCUGGGAAGACAAAGCAGGAAAAAGAAAGUGGAAGAGAAGAGCUGUGUCCCAAGCUUGUAUUUUGGCUGCCAUUUUAAGAAGCGCACCCUGUUCCAAAUAACAGUUUUGUAAUUGUGUUUGAAGAUCACAGCAGAUGUUAGGGGUGAUACAUGCGCAGCACGUGAGUUCCUUGUUGUGUGCAGAGAACUGCCCAGUGAGGGUCUGGUAUGGUGGGAGGGGGAAGACAUGCAGCCCGCCUGUAGGGACCAGCGUGGAGGUUAGUCAUCCUGCUGAGUCAACAGGAGACACCAGCACCUCCAAAGGGUGCUUCUGCCUACUUGUCAUCUAAAGUUAGACAGCUAAAGUUGGUUGCUAAAAAGGAGAUGAGAUGAGGGAAAGGGUUUUCACAGCAGAUGUAUCCGCCCUUCUGUCAGCAAUUCUACCUCUUCACCCACCUCUACGCAUUUGCAUAGGGAAUGAUUCCUGGCUGGUAUUUUCAUGGAGUGAAUCCUCACUUAUCAGAACACGAUAAUAGCUUGUGUUCCUAUUUACAGAGGUCUACACGUAUUGACUUGUCAGUCACCAAUUUCCAGGCAUCUAAACUCUAUAUUGCAACAAUCAGAAAGAGUUAGGGAUUUUCCAUCCUCGCAAAUAACUUUCCAAGAAAGUCAUCAGAAACAGUUGGAUAAACACAGUGAAGCUUGUAAAACUCCAGGCAAACUGACAGUGCAGCCAGAAUUAGAAAGUCUGAGGUUUUUUUCUGAUGUGAUUCUGGACUAGUGUUGAGAUAAACCCGGUGGAAGCAGUGAGGCCUAACCUCUAGGAACCUUCAGUCUGGAGGGCCUUCCAUCCUGUUCUACUGUCUCAGGCCACAGCUUUGUGGUGUCUGAAAGUGUGCUGAAAUAUUUGUGUUGGUAUCAUUUGGGGUUCCUGCAGAAAGAAGGGCCCGGCUACACCAAUCCUAUCAGCAGGGUAGUGGAAACAAAUGCAACAUAAUAAAAUGCACAAACAACACUUGUCUGGUGGCCUGAAGCACUGCUUUCCCCGUUUGGCCUGCAGUACCCACUGAAGUCAGUGUAAUGAUCUCCAGCAGUUUAUCCUGGCUUUGGAUCAUGGUAUUCACAGCAAACGUUUGUUUUUGAGUGCCAAGAAGACGGAGGAACUGUGUUGUACAACUGUUCCACAACGCGCUGCACUCGUAUUUUGGCUGAUUUUUUUUUUUUAUUGUAUUUUUAAAGAUGUUUUUCUUUAUAAAAAGUCAUUUUCUUACUUUAAUCUCAGGAGAGAAUUUUCCAUUCUGUCCAUCCUUCCUCUUUUUAUUACAGCAUCUGCUAUAAUUAAGUGUUGAAUUGUAAGAACAGCAUUACAUGCUUCUCUCUUUUUCCAAACGAUUCCUGGCGCUGAGAAUGAAAAGUAAAUAUACGUUUUUAGUUCUGUGUGUAACUCCACUGGCUUAUUUUCAUCUUUCGAUAGUGCUUUUCAGGCUGUCAACUUCUCCUUAUCCUCCUUGUUUCUCGGAUCCCUGAGCUUGUCUAGAGACUGAUGCUGCAGCAGGGCAAGGUAAAGCACUGUAAAAUAACUAAAGAAUUGUGAGAAAAGAACAGGCACUGCCGCAGGGACUCACAUACUAAAACAUCUCAAAAAACCUUCUGAAAAACAGACCAGCUGUUGAGUUGACAGCGUCCUUUUGAGAGUUUAUGUUGAAAGGUCCUGUGACCAAGUUUUGGCCAAGCAGAAGUGUUAAUGAGUUUCUUUGAAAUGAAAAACAUUCCUAUAGACAAAAAUAGAUAGUACUGAAAUAUCUCGCAGUCGUUAUUUACUAUUUCUGUGUGAUCCCCUGUCCAGAUUUAUAAUGAUCAUUUGCUGUGCCAGCAGAACUUAAACCAUUGUGGUUUUGUCUUUAAUGCUAUAAUUAAAAACAGGAUGAUUUUCAUGGGACUAGAAUAAUCUGUAAUUCUUGUGAGAGCUCUAUCUUUUAAGCAGCCUUAUCUAAUAUAUAAUCUUCACUGACCUGAGUGUGCAGACACAUUUUUGACACGUACUGAUGUCUUCACUGAGGAAUUACACACACUUAGGGUUAUUUCAAUCUGAUAUCUCUAGAUAUCUAACCUCUCACUAGUUCUUCACACUCUGUUGGAUGAAUGGAUGUUCCUUAUCAUGCAGUAAAAAGACCAGUCUGGCAUCCCUUGUAUGUUCAUUAGGGCAGACCAUGCAUUACAGCAGUACUCAGUGAGGAGUAAUUAUAGAGGACAGGUAGAAAGUUAGCUCCUAGAACAACAUUUCUUUGCACUGGAAUAGUUACCUAUUCUGAUGUCUAAUGUUUAAUCAGCACCAUUUGUCUACAAACAGAUUUCAGCCACGAGGAAACUUUUGACUUGCUCUUAAAAGUUUUGUUCUGAAAAUGAUUUAUGUAAGGUGUUUGAAUCUUGAACCUGCUUUGUCUAAUAGUAUUAAUAACCUGGGGCAGACAGUGUUUAUAUGGUACCACGCACCCUGACGGCACUUAGUAAAUAAUGAAAUAAAUCACGGGCUUUGUUUCUGUUUAAACAUUGUGCUUGCCCUCUGUGGAUACCAGUCUUCUGGAUCCUGCUCAACAACCUCAUCUGGGUGAAACUGGAUAUUGUGCCAAUUUUAUUCCAGCCCUGUUAACGUAUGGCAACAAUACAGACAAUGCAUCAGUGGACAAAGAACUCAUAGUCCUCCUCUGGAUUUAUGUGGCAAGGUUUUGGCACUGGGGAGGCCUGCAAGAAGCCCAGCAGCUGCCCCAUGUCAGAUCACAGCCCUUGUAGGAGCAGCCCAGGUCUGAGCUGCAGCCCAUGGAGAGCAGCCUGCAGUGGGGCAGGAGGGCUGGGGGAGCUGCCACCUGUGGGACCCAUGUGGAGCAGUGCCUGAAAGGUGGGCUCCGUGGUAUGGAGCUGUGUUUGAACAGUGCUGGGAGAGCUGCAGUGUGUGGGACCAGACCAGGAAGGACAGCAACCUGUGGGGAGAGACCCACAUAAAGCAGAAGCAGAGAGUGACUGUGGAGGAGCAGAAGAGAUGAAGCUUUAUGGAAUGACCACAGCCCCCUUUCCCUAUUCCCCUGCACCUGCUGAGGGAAGGAGAUAGAAGUUGAGCCUGAGAAAAGGAGUUAUGCUGAGGAGCCCUGAGGUGGCCCAGAGGACAGGAAAGGACAACAUUCAAAACUCCAGCAACCAGUGAAAGAGGAAUUAAUGUAUUACUCACUGAAGCCUCUACAAAACCAGACUAAAACGCAGUUGAAAGCCUUUGCCAACUCUGGAACUCAAAGUCUGCUAUCCCCAAAGCAAGAGCAGCCAGAGGGAAUUGGGAAGGGAUCAAGGAAGAGUGGGGAGGAGACAAAAUCUCAAAGACCACCGGGAUGAGAGGUAUUCACCACCUUAGGCAUCAGCACACAAAGGCUGCGUGCCCUGCAGAGCCCAACAGAAGUUACUAUGUUGAGCAGAGGGUUUCUUGGUCAGAGUUAUGGAGGAGACCAAGCUAGACAGUCUGGGGCUGAACUGUUUACAGUGUGUAGUUUGAGUUUGAGCACCCCACUGCUUGCUCUGUGAUAGCAGCUGUAGCAGUACUGAGUGGUAAAUGAGUGAGUAACGGCAAGCUGGCAGAGCUGAGGCUGCAGUAAGAGACACGCACGUAUCUGGAUGGUUCAGGCAUGCCCCGUGUCAGCCGUGAAUUCUGCAGUUUGUGUUAAUAAGUGGAGCAUGCAAGUUGUCUGCUUGCCAUAGGGUGAGUGGCAGCCAGGCAGCCUGCAAAAAUGGAUGUCGUGAGGGCACCGAAACGAAGAGCUGAACACACUAUCUGGAAAGAAAUCUCUACAGAAGGAAAAAAGGGAGAUACCGUUCUGCAUGUCUGGGCUAGUGUGAAUUCAUCAGGCUUUGUGUUUGACUGGGAGCCAGGUAUAGUGUACAAGUAACUCUUGUUUGCUCUGCUUGACCUAAAUCCAAGUUUUGCUUUGUCAGGUUUUGUCCGACGUGUGUUCUGUUUCCCCGCUGUGUAGUAACAGUGCUGGAGGCUGGGUGUUAGCAUUGGCAAUCUGAUGACUCAGUCACUCAAGUAUGAAGGCCAUACUGUGGCAAUAGGGAGGAAGUAAGGACAUGUAACCUUACCAUGUGUUUUGUGGUGGUCCAAGCUUUCAGUUCAUGCUGAAAGAAUUCUUAUUUGUGAAGUUUCAAAAGGAUUAAAUGCAGACUGUCCUUGCAUUCUAGACAGCAGUCAGGCACCACAAGCAACCUUCUUCUCUGCCAACAGCGUGUUUGGGGACAUAAUGCCUCGUUUGGUUAUUUAUAAACAGUCAUUUUCCAGGAUCGACACCUACCAGAGCCAGCCAUCCACCUCCACUGCCUUCCAUUCCUUGGCAGCCAUUCCUGAAGCAGAAAUGCAUGGGUAGCAAGAGUCCUCCAGCUGUUCUCAUCUUCAGUCCCACUGGUUUGGGGGUCUUGGGCUGGUAAGAGAAGCAUCUGCUGUUUGAAACCCUGCCUUCAACAACCACGUUGCUAUAAAUAAGUUUCCAGUGCUAAAAGUCAGGAACUGUAGCAAAUAGAUAGGAGGACUGCCAGCUCUCAGAUACCCACCUGAGGUUGGGUCACAAGAGGAAAUCACCCUGGUACAGUAUCUGUGCAAACACCAGAUCCCACUCAUUUCUCAUGUUCACAAGUUUGAUCUAAGCAAAGCACUCUACUCAUGGACAAUGUUAAAUGCUGGUCAUCUCAGAAGAAGAUCAGGUGAGCUCAGCACCACGCAGCUACUCACUCACUCUCCCCAAGUAGAAUGGGAAGAGAAUUGGAAAGGUAAGCAAAAUAAGGAACUAAUAUACAGUUUCCCAUUGGCAGGUGGGUGUUCAGCCACAUCAGGAGAGCGGGGCUGAUCACCUGUAACAGUUCCUUGGGAAGAUAAAUUCCAUCACUUUGAACGUUCCCCUGCUGUUUUAUUGCUAAGCAUGAUGACAUAUGGUAUGGAACAUCCCUUUGGCUAAUCUGGGUCGGAUGCUCUGGAGUAGCACUUGGAGUGGAUACAUGCCCAGGCCACCUGGUCCCAAGCACAGUCCCAAUUUAAGGCCACCAUCUACUUUGUAAUCCUACCACAGAGAAAUUGAAAGCAUCAGAGCUUCCUGCUGGCCAGCAGCUUGCUUCAUCUGAGUGCUCCUGUGCCUUCUGCUCUCCAUGGAAGGGUGCAGCAGACACCGUGCCACAGACCCCUCUGUGUGCCCUCUGCCUCUCAUCAGUGCCAUCAGAGAACCGCCCUGGGGAGCCUGGGCUGAGACGUGUGCUUGUGUGUGUGCAGCACGUGCGUGUGCGUGCGCCUGUGCACACACAGCUGUGUUUGUUUUGUGCUGCAGAUAGGAGAAAACAAGAUUAUUUAUGUUCUAAUAACUGUGUGUUCCCUGUGCGAACUAUUUUCUGCUCUGAUUUAUUGUUCUCCUUAGGCCUGCCCGCAAGCAUUGUUCUUAUACUUGGAGCCGGUCACACUGUUUUCCAUCUGCAAAUGGAAAUCUUAAGUCUAAUGGAGUAUUUAUGAACCAACAAAGAAGAUUUGGAGGAAGGAGGAGUUUCACUCCUUUGUUUUCCCAUUAUUCUUUUCCUCUCGUCUUUCCCUUUACGCUUUCUCCCACCUCCCCCUUUUCCCAUGGCAUCUCUGAAAGGCGGGAGCUUUUCUCCUUACGCUCCUCAGGAGUUUUGCCUCAAUCUCAGACAAAUUUUCACGCAGUCUGGCUAAAAAUUCUUUUAAAGUCUUGGCUUUAAAUCUUUCCCCUUUACUGGGUGGUUUAAAUUCUCCUCACUAGCUCAGAGUCUCAGUCUUUUUUGAGGCGUGAAAUCCCCGCAGUUCCCUUGCCUACACAGCAAAAGGAGCAUGAAUAAGGCAGGAGGCUGUGUAAAAAAAGACAACACAUGAGAGAACAAUAAAAACUUGGUUAAGAAAAA